rnacentral:misc_RNA from 1 species
UCCCCGUUACCGAGGCAGUCUCACUAGAAAUUACAACUAGUAAUAAGGGUUGCGCUCGUUGAGGGACUUAACCCGACAUCUCACGACACGAGCUGACGACGGCCAUGCAUCACCUGUCACCGGUCCAGCCGAACUGACCGUCUAGUUUCCUAGACAUACGACCGGGAUGUCAAGCCUUGGUAAGGUUCUUCGCGUAGCCUCGAAUUAAACCACACGCUCCACCGCUUGUGCGGGUCCCCGUCAAUUCCUUUGAGUUUUAGCCUUGCGGCCGUACUCCCCAGGCGGGAUGCUUAACGCGUUAGCUUUGCUACCGAGGGGGUCGAUACCCCCGACAGCUAGCAUCCAUCGUUUACGGCGUGGACUAC